rnacentral:rRNA from 1 species
UCAGAUUGAACGCUGGCGGCAGNCCUAACACAUGCAAGUCGAGCGGUAGAGAGAAGCUUGCUUCUCUUGAGAGCGGCGGACGGGUGAGUAAUACCUAGGAAUCUGCCUGAUAGUGGGGGAUAACGUUCGGAAACGGACGCUAAUACCGCAUACGUCCUACGGGAGAAAGCAGGGGACCUUCGGGCCUUGCGCUAUCAGAUGAGCCUAGGUCGGAUUAGCUAGUUGGUGAGGUAAUGGCUCACCAAGGCUACGAUCCGUAACUGGUCUGAGAGGAUGAUCAGUCACACUGGAACUGAGACACGGUCCAGACUCCUACGGGAGGCAGCAGUGGGGAAUAUUGGACAAUGGGCGAAAGCCUGAUCCAGCCAUGCCGCGUGUGUGAAGAAGGUCUUCGGAUUGUAAAGCACUUUAAGUUGGGAGGAAGGGCAUUAACCUAAUACGUUGGUGUCUUGACGUUACCGACAGAAUAAGCACCGGCUAACUCUGUGCCAGCAGCCGCGGUAAUACAGAGGGUGCAAGCGUUAAUCGGAAUUACUGGGCGUAAAGCGCGCGUAGGUGGUUUGUUAAGUUGAAUGUGAAAUCCCCGGGCUCAACCUGGGAACUGCAUCCAAAACUGGCAAGCUAGAGUAUGGUAGAGGGUAGUGGAAUUUCCUGUGUAGCGGUGAAAUGCGUAGAUAUAGGAAGGAACACCAGUGGCGAAGGCGACUACCUGGACUGAUACUGACACUGAGGUGCGAAAGCGUGGGGAGCAAACAGGAUUAGAUACCCUGGUAGUCCACGCCGUAAACGAUGUCAACUAGCCGUUGGGAGUCUUGAACUCUUAGUGGCGCAGCUAACGCAUUAAGUUGACCGCCUGGGGAGUACGGCCGCAAGGUUAAAACU